rnacentral:rRNA from 1 species
AUGGACGUGGCGGUGGCGGUGCGGCAGGUGAUGCCAACGUCGUCAAUCAAGCUGGAGGACGGCGUGGCGCCUGAGGUUGCAGUGGACAUGGAUGUGCACCGCCGCGUCCUCGUCGACAUCGGCAAGAGCGUCUACGACAGGAGCAAGCAGCGCUGCCUUAAAACUCCGUGCAUCGCCGGAGGGCCGUACAGCGGCGGCCUCCGGGGAUGCAACCCACGUUACGGGUGCGCCCCUAAGUAA